rnacentral:tRNA from 1 species
GGUUCUGUGGUCUAAUGGUUAGGACUUUGGAUUUUGAUGAAGAAUCAAUUCCAGCAGCGAGGGUUCGAUUCCCUCCAGAACCU